rnacentral:lncRNA from 1 species
CUGAUAAACUUAUAGGUGGCCAUCAGAUCACCCCUGAGCCUAUGCUUUUCCAGGCUAAANNNNNNNNNNNCGUGAACCCAGACGGGGAAAGGCGAACCCAGCCGAUUAGGGCAAUUGACAUUGUUGGGGCAUGGAUGCCCAUUACUUCGCGUAUGGUGCCGAGACAGCAGGGCCCAUGCGUGAGACAGAGGAAGUAAAGGCCCUAGAAGGGUUUGGGGAGCACAUGGAAGACCUCAGGAGCAGACUGAGGUGUGAGGAGCUGGAGGAACAAGUGCUCCAGCUCAGACAGGAACUAGAGGUAGCCAACAUCUGGCGAGAGAGUGCAGAGGCUAGAGCAGCCGCCCUGGAGCAACAAUGGUCGCCGGGCAAAAAGAGCGGGGUUGCCAAAGAGAUCCGACGCUUCCUAGCGGAGGAGGCGGAGAGGGUGCGGAGAACAGAGCAAGGAAUAGCGCUCGAAAGGGAGAAGAGCCUAGAACGGGAAUACCAGCUCGGCGUUAUGCAGGCAGAAGUGGGGCGCUGGAGGGACCAGGCCCUGGAGGCCAGCGAAACCUCGACAAAGGCGAAAACAAAGGUACAGGUAGAGGUGUCUAGCGAGCUGAUUACGACCUUACGGAGGGAGAUCCAGGCUCGUGAGGGGCAGAUCCAAGUCCUUCAGGAGGACUUGGAGACUUGGCGGGAGAGAGGCCUGAAAGCCGAGAGGGUGAUAGAUCAGUAUCAAGAGGAGCUCACCCAGAACCGUAGUCAACUCAAGGAGUCUAGGAAGCUUUGGGAGGCGCAGUAUGAUAAAGUGAAGGCUCUUGUAGAAAAGGGCGAGGAAAAGAGCCUGGUAGAGCAGGGAGUACAAACCUGGGAGAGCUCAGGCAGCCUGCAAAAAGAAUUGGAGGCUGUAGAGGAGCGGCUACAAAGCUACCUAAGGGGUGUCCGGGAGGAACUCCAAGAGAGGGAAGCCCUUAUCAAGACCCUGAGGCAAAUCGGGCCUCAAUUAGAGAACUGUCAGCGCCAACGAAUGCAGUGGCUGAGGGAGGCUAAAGACCAGCGGGCUCUAGAAGCUCAGAGGGUCCAGCACGCAGAGGAGCUAAGAGAACAAGUGCAGGGUCUGCAGACAGAAAGAAACCAUCUUAAGGAGCAGGCAGCAGCACUCGAAACUCUCCUUGCGGAGAGCCAGGCCAAGGUACCAUCUCUUAUGGCAGAGCAGGGGCAGCUGCUACAAGAGUUGCGAACCCUGAAGGAGAGGCUGCAAGGGUUACAGCCAUGCCAGGGUGACCAGCAACCGUCCUCUGAGGUAGGCAGCCAAACUACCGAGGAAAUUGUACCAGUUCAGCAAGUGAAAGAGACAAAGGGGAAAGAUCUGAUGGAUCGGGGAGUGCAGACCACCAGGAGAUCAGGCACCUGCGAGAAAGAGCUUGAAGCUACGAAAAGGCAGUUGCAGAAAAGAGAAGGCCUCAGUGAGGUCUUGAAAUGAAGUAGAGCCCAAGGUGAGGAGCUCCAGGCAGCACAGACCCGGGGGCCAGUAAAAGGGAAAUCUCCCAGAAAGGAAAAUCAGGACCAGUCUGGGGGGCACAGUGACCCAGAACAGUCAGGAGGGCCGGUCCAGGAUGAGGACCCCUUAGACAGGGGAAUAGAUGCUGCGCAUAAGGAGACCCAGGUGGACUUCUUUGAAUGUUGGGAGUCAAAGUGGGCCCGGUGGCAAGAACUUCACCUGCAGGGCCUAGCUCAGUUAGAGCAACGAUUAGGAAACUUGGUUAAAGGGCCAGACAGGCUCUGU